CCUACGGGAGGCAGCAGUGAGGAAUAUUGGUCAAUGGGCGAGAGCCUGAACCAGCCAAGUCGCGUGAGGGAUGACGGUCCUAUGGAUUGUAAACCUCUUUUGUCGGGGAACAAAGGCGUCCACGUGUGGACUGAUGAGUGUACCCGAAGAAAAAGCAUCGGCUAACUCCGUGCCGGCCGCCGCGGUAAUACGGAGGAUGCGAGCGUUAUCCGGAUUUAUUGGGUUUAAGGGGUGCGUAGGCGGACAGUCAAGUCAGCGGUAAAAGGGCGGUGCUAAACGCCGUAGAGCCGUGGAGACUGGCAGACGUGAGGGGGCGAGAAGUAUGCGGAAUGCGAGGUGUAGCGGUGAAAGGCAUAGAUAUGGCGCAGAACUACGAUUGCGAAGGCAGCAUAACGGCGCCGUACUGACGCUGAGGCACGAAAGCGGGGGUAUCGAACAGGAUUAGAUAACCUGGGAGUC
rnacentral:rRNA from 1 species